CUAGCCAAUACAUGGACUAUUUGACAGCAAGAUCACAGCUACGUGUUAUUAUUUGCAGCGAAUUAGCUGUGGGGCACGAAAGCAAAUGUGCGUGGCUUGACCUUAUGAGUGCAUUAAGCUAUUCUUUUUCAACAGAGCCAUUCAUAGCCCAAAUACCUACAUUACAACAGAGGAGAACAUGGGUGACUGGAAUAUUGUAAGAAGGUAUCACCACAACGAGGAAUGUUCUUGUUUUAAUUAUUGCCAUCCCAGCUUACUUAUAUCUGUGACACUUUCUUCCCUAUUUCAUGAUAAUACAAAAUGAGCUGCACUU